CUCCUGCUCCCCUGGGCACCCAGGGACCUCAGGCCACCCUGAGAUAGCUGCUCAGGUCCCUGGGCCACAGGGACUGCAAGGAAGGAGGAGUCCACGGACAGGCUACAGGAAAGCAGGGAACUUCACGCCCCAGUGGCUCCCAGGUUUAUCAGGGCCAAGCAGGAGCAGCGGGGCUAGAGGGAGCCCGAGCUGCGAGCUCCGGGCUCAGGGACUGCCGGCAGCUCGGCAUCAGCAGGGGCUCGAUGCUGUCGCACCUCCAGGCCAUCUUCCCGGCAAGGUCCCCUGUUCCCUGAUAAGUGAACGCAGUUCCAGUAACCCGGCUGCUCUGGGAAAGCAGAGAUAAGGCCGGCUGACGCUGUGCUUGCGUCAUGCCUUACCACGGCCUCCCUGGAGGCAGGGCAGCAUCCCUGCCUGCCUGGGUCUGGCAGCCCUGCCUGCAAGCUGCCUCCUGCGCCUGCCCACAGCCUGUGAUCAGCUGCAAGCGCUGCCACAGGACCUGCAGGGGGUUUGGUGCCCAGAUCACGGCUGGGAUCGAGAGGCUCUUCAGGCAGGAGCCUCUCCGUCACUCAUGGAAAUGUGGUUUUCACAGCAAGGUGCGCAACAGACGCAGGCUCGCUCCCAGGGAGACGGGCUGUGUCCCUCUCCUCUGCCACAGGCCUCCCCCUCCCAGGGGAUCAGGUACCUGGAACAACCUCCCGGGUGAGCUGUGCACCUCAGCACCCACCUCUGCCCCACCAACGCUCUUUGCCUUCCACCAAACACCAUCUCCAGCAUCUCAUGACUCCCCCAGCUGCCUUUCACACCCCCUCGACCAUGUGGACGUAUCAGCACACCCAGGGCACUGGGACUACAGGGACUUGGCUAACUGACCCCGGGGCCACCUCACUCCGAGUCCUCUUCAGGGAUGUGACAAUUGUCCCUGUGACUCUUGCCACCUACACAGGGUGGCAGAAGGCAGCUCGCUUCCCACCAGGCCUGCCAGCUGGCACGGGCUCCACGGAGGUGUGGUAUCGCAUCCCGGCCCCGCAGGAAUGGGCAGGACGGCGGCUCACAUGCAGGUGCCAUCAGGGGAGAAGGGGGAGGGCUGCUGCCUGCUGCCAGCCCCCCGCCUGGCUGCUCACCCAGGAGGAAGGGCACGGAAACAGCCAGUGAUGUGCUGCAGGAGAGGGACGGGAGGAGAGCCCAAGCCCAAGGAGGGGAUAUUUUUCAUUACGGCACAGGAAAUCCCUCUGCUGAUAGGUGGUGACGAGCGGCGGAGCGGUGACAGAGCACGGCAAGCGGCAGCAAACCGAGAGCAGGCUGGCGGGGAUGGAGGGCACAGGGGAACCGGGGGCAGAAGGCAUGGGCUUGUCCAAAACCGCCAGCUGUGGAGUGCCUCACCACCCCUGCAACACCCCUCUGUGCUGGGGCUCUCGCACCCCGGGGAAGGUCCUUCCCUCGGAGGCACGUCCCCGCCGCACACCCCCAGCGCCCGAUGGCGUGGGAGCGCUCAGCGGGAGGAAGGAGGCUGCGCCCCUCCUGAUGUAUUCCCCAGAAAAAGCCAGUAAGGCUUGCCCCACCGAGCCCCACGUGUCUCCGCAGGCUCGCCCUGACUCACGAGAGGGGACAUCCCCACUGUCCCCCAGGAAGGCUGGGGAGGUGGAAGGGGCCAGCCAGUUCCCCAGCCUCUCCGCAGGGCUGGCGGCAGGGCAGGCACCGGGAGAGGGCCCCCAGAGCCAGGGCAGGGAGCCGGGGAGGGCUGGUAGCCCAGCCUCUGCGACUGUGUGCUGCCGAGCUGGGCGAAAGGCAGUUCCAAGAAGCAUGUUUUGAAGCCCUUACUUCUAAGAAAAGGAAGUGUUUGCUGAACAAGAGAUAAAUGGCAUACGGUGAACCGAGAGCUAUCGGGCGCUACAGACGGAGAAGAGCACAACAAGAGCCCGGUGCAGGCAGGGAGGGGACACGAGCCCCUCUCCUUUCCCUGGGAAUGGAGCAGCAGCUGCUGGAGAUGCAGCUGGAGGCCACAGGGGACUUGGGAGCCGAGAGCGCCUUGUCCUUCCUCGGGGAGACCGUCCCCAGGAGCUGCAAUAGCUCAGCCCCUGCACAACUGUGAUCCCAGAUGUGUCCCCUGGGAAUGGUAAUCCCAGACCAGGGGGAGUGGGAAAACAGGCAGGAGCAUCCUCCCUCCCUGUCCUGGGGGCAGGCUGAAGGUUAGGGAAAGGCAGCUUGCUCAGUUCCCACACUGCCCCAGGCCUUGGCUGCUCUGCACCUGAAGCCCAGCACUCCCAGUACUGAUUCUGACCUCUCUGGCCUGGUGUUUGGGAUCCCAGGCUUGCCCAGACACGUCCAGAUAUUUCUGGCCUCCCCGAGUCACCUUUAUCUGAGAGAAAAUAUUUGGAAUUCCUGAGUCGAUCACAAGGACUAUGGUAGCAACAGCACGUCAGUGUCUCAACCGCCCUCUCCACGUGCUCGUGGGCCUCUUCCACCCCAGAGAGGACAGGCUGUUCCACAGCAGAACACCCGUCACAUCCCCUUCCCCACCCUGGGUGACAGGCACGUCCAAGAGGAGGAUGCUCAGGGGAAGGCAAUGAGGAAGCAGCGAGAUGUUAUGCCGACGCAAAAGGCAAUCCCCCCCACGUCGCCUCUCCUCCCCCAGCACGGGGGGGAAGAACACAACGUGUGCUUGCUGGAGCCUAAAGCAGCACUUGCUGCAGGGGGGACACACGACACUUCCUUCCAGCUGCACGUGCUGCUUGCGGGAGACCGAGGACCUGGAGAUCCAGACUCCACCGGCACCCACCACUCCACAGAGCUGGGGCAGGGAGGUUCUGCAGUGCCAAAGGCUCUUGAGACACCUGCAGUGCCCCAAAACCGCAACCCACCAGUCGAGGGGGGACGCAGCAGCCAUGUAAACGCUGCCCAGUGACGAUACACGGCACUGCGGUCGAGAGAAAAGAGGAGCAGGUCUGACCCAAAGCGCUUGGUCUUGGGUGGGAGAACAGAAUCAGGCAUGAUGCCUGGCUGAGACAGCAUUCACAUCCUUGCCUUACUGGCCGUCACGGGAAGGGGAAGACCCAAAGUUUCAGCCUCUUGCCAGUAGCCAGCCCCAGAAGUUCAGCUGGUUUCAUUCACCAGCACUGCCCGAAGCAGCUCCCCCGGCCGAACAGGAGGGAGAGCAAUUGCUAGAUCCCAUUCAGGGCGAGUAGAGCAGGUUCCUCUUUCAAGAUAAGCCCCAACACCAGGGGAAAGAGGAUUCAGUAAGUGACACCAAACCAUGAGGGCAGGUGGAGGAAGCAGACGUGGGCAACGAAUGCCCAUCUGGCCUCCUGUGAGUCAGGGGGGAGUGGGAAGGGGAGGGCAGAGUUUGGGUGCCCAAAGCUUCCCUUGCACGGGGAGGUGAAGGGUACGGAGGUCACCGGGACACCGACAAGAAGCUCUGAAAACCAGCAGAGCAGAGAAGAGACAGGCUCUAUGGGCACUUGGUCUGACUUUAACACGGAGACUCUGCCUCCGGCAGGAGCGACGCCCCCGACACCCAGCCAGGCUGCUUUUGAGAGGGACAGCCACCAGCUCCGCACGUACAGAAGCCUUUCCCACCCAAGGAUCUUAAUGUGGUUUAUUAAAAUUAGUUGGUUCUCCAAAACCUCCUGCGGGAUAAGUCAGCGUUGUUCCCAGACAGAUCAACAGAGGUGCAGAGAGGUUAAGUGCUUUCCCUAGAGUUGCGUACGAGCCAGCAGCGUGAGCCACAGCAUCUGACUCCCAAUCCAGGCAUUCUCGUCACGAGGCAAUGUUUCACUUGAAAACAAGGCUGUUUCUGUUAUACCUUUGCCGUAACUACAGCUGUGUUACUGCUAAGAGGUCUAACACCAAUCGCUGGCCAGUCAUCUGGAUGACCAGACAUUUGUUAAUGAGAUGCUGGGAACAGUUUUGUGCUGAGCAGUGAGACAAGCAUGGAAAAAGAAAGGCAGCAGCUCGGCGCAGACCACAACAAAGCCCUGCAUCGACAGCAACCUGCUCCCAGAGCCCCUUCGGGCUGCCAGCUCACCACAUGGGACUGGCAUAUGCGAACCUGGAGGUGAAGCAUGGGGGGAAAAGGCAGCUGAGAUCUUUCAGGGAAAAAAAAAAAAAAAA